rnacentral:siRNA from 1 species
AUUAACGACUUCCAAGCAUGC